rnacentral:rRNA from 1 species
UACGGAGGAUCCAAGCGUUAUCCGGAUUUAUUGGGUUUAAAGGGUGCGUAGGCUGGUAUUUAAGUCAGUGGUGAAAUUUUCGUGCUUAACAUGAGAGCUGCCAUUGAUACUGGGUACCUAGAGUGUAUUUGAUGUGGGCGGAAUGUGUUGUGUAGCGGUGAAAUGCUUAGAUAUGACACAGAACACCGAUAGCGAAGGCAGCUCACAAAGUUACAACUGACGCUGAUGCACGAAAGCGUGGGGAUCAAACAGG